GACGAACGCUGGCGGCGUGCCUAAUACAUGCAAGUCGAGCGGACAGAAGGGAGCUUGCUCCCGGAAGUCAGCGGCGGACGGGUGAGUAACACGUGGGCAACCUGCCUGUAAGACUGGGAUAACUUCGGGAAACCGGAGCUAAUACCGGAUAGGUUCUUCCCCCGCAUGGGGGAAGAUGGAAAGACGGUUUCGGCUGUCACUUACAGAUGGGCCCGCGGCGCAUUAGCUAGUUGGUGGGGUAAUGGCCCACCAAGGCGACGAUGCGUAGCCGACCUGAGAGGGUGAUCGGCCACACUGGGACUGAGGCACGGCCCAGACUCCGACGGGAGGCAGCAGUAGGGAAGCUUCCGCAAUGGACGAAAGUCUGACGGAGCAACGCCGCGUGAGCGAAGAAGGCCUUCGGGUCGUAAAGCUCUGUUGUCAGGGAAGAACAAGUGCCAGAGUAACUGCUGGCACCUUGACGGUACCUGACCAGAAAGCCACGGCUAACUACGUGCCAGCCGCCGCAGUAAUAC
rnacentral:rRNA from 1 species